rnacentral:rRNA from 1 species
CAUGCAAGUCGAACGAGAGAGAGGGAGCUUGCUUCCUUGAUCGAGUGGCGAACGGGUGAGUAACGCGUGAGGAACCUGCCUCAAAGAGGGGGACAACAGUUGGAAACGACUGCUAAUACCGCAUAAGCCCACGACCCGGCAUCGGGAAGAGGGAAAAGGAGCAAUCCGCUUUGAGAUGGCCUCGCGUCCGAUUAGCUAGUUGGUGAGGUAACGGCCCACCAAGGCGACGAUCGGUAGCCGGACUGAGAGGUUGAACGGCCACAUUGGGACUGAGACACGGCCCAGACUCCUACGGGAGGCAGCAGUGGGGAAUAUUGCACAAUGGGGGAAACCCUGAUGCAGCGACGCCGCGUGGAGGAAGAAGGUCUUCGGAUUGUAAACUCCUGUUGUUGAGGAAGAUAAUGACGGUACUCAACAAGGAAGUGACGGCUAACUACGUGCCAGCAGCCGCGGUAAAACGUAGGUCACAAGCGUUGUCCGGAAUUACUGGGUGUAAAGGGAGCGCAGGCGGGCGAUCAAGUUGGAAGUGAAAUCCAUGGGCUCAACCCAUGAACUGCUUUCAAAACUGGUCGUCUUGAGUAGUGCAGAGGUAGGCGGAAUUCCCGGUGUAGCGGUGGAAUGCGUAGAUAUCGGGAGGAACACCAGUGGCGAAGGCGGCCUACUGGGCACCAACUGACGCUGAGGCUCGAAAGUGUGGGUAGCAAACAGGAUUAGAUACCCUGGUAGUCCACACCGUAAACGAUGAUUACUAGGUGUUGGGAGA